rnacentral:rRNA from 1 species
CCUACGGGAGGCAGCAGUAGGGAAUUUUCGUCAAUGGGCGCAAGCCUGAACGAGCAAUGCCGCGUGAACGAGGAAGGUCUUCGGAUCGUAAAGUUCUGUUGAAGGGGAAAAAGAGCGGAGAGAGGAAAUGGUCUCCGAUUGAUAUUACCCUUCGAGGAAGUCACGGCUAACUACGUGCCAGCAGCCGCGGUAAUACGUAGGGAGCAAGCGUUGUCCGGAAUUACUGGGCGUAAAGGGCGCGUAGGUGGGGGCUUAAGUCAGGUGUGAAAACUCUGGGCUCAACCUGGAGACUGCACUUGAAACUG